GGGUUGUGAGGUUAAGCGACUAAGCGUACACGGUGGAUGCCCUGGCAGUCAGAGGCGAUGAAGGGCGUGCUAAUAUGCGAUAAGCGCCGGUAAGGUGAUAUGAACCGUUAUAACCGGCGAUACCCGAAUGGGGAAACCCAGUGUGACUCGUCACACUAUCAUUAACUGAAUCCAUAGGUUAAUGAGGCGAACCGGGGGAACU
rnacentral:rRNA from 1 species